AAUAGAUACCCGGGUAGUCCACGCCGUAAACGAUGAGUGCUAAGUGUUAGAGGGUUUCCGCCCUUUAGUGCUGCAGCUAACGCAUUAAGCACUCCGCCUGGGGAGUACGGCCGCAAGGCUGAAACUCAAAGGAAUUGACGGGGGCCCGCACAAGCGGUGGAGCAUGUGGUUUAAUUCGAAGCAACGCGAAGAACCUUACCAGGUCUUGACAUCCUCUGACAACCCUAGAGAUAGGGCUUUCCCCUUCGGGGGACAGAGUGACAGGUGGUGCAUGGUUGUCGUCAGCUCGUGUCGUGAGAUGUUGGGUUAAGUCCCGCAACGAGCGCAACCCUUGAUCUUAGUUGCCAGCAUUCAGUUGGGCACUCUAAGGUGACUGCCGGUGACAAACCGGAGGAAGGUGGGGAUGACGUCAAAUCAUCAUGCCCCUUAUGACCUGGGCUACACACGUGCUACAAUGGAUGGUACAAAGGGCUGCAAACCUGCGAAGGUAAGCGAAUCCCAUAAAGCCAUUCUCAGUUCGGAUUGCAGG
rnacentral:rRNA from 1 species